GCCCUCUCAGGGUCGCACCUGGAGAGUUUCCAGUCCUCUACCAGUCUCGGCUAAGGGAGGGAGAGUCAGGCAGAGGCCUGCCCAUUCUAUUCCUAGCUUGGGCAGUGGCUAGCGAGUGGAAGGCCAUCUGCUACAAGU
rnacentral:snoRNA from 1 species